rnacentral:lncRNA from 1 species
GGGGUUUUAAACGGUGGAAAGAGAUUAUAAUCAGUAAAUAUGAUUAUAAUCGGUGGAAGUUGUAAAUCGAAGGUGAAAUGGUGUUUAAAUGAAGUGUCAAUCGGUCAAAAAUAAGGAACUGAGGAAAUGCGGAAGAAACCCUAAGCUGAAGGUGUGGAAGAUGCUCUGUGAUGGUGAAGGAUGAGUUCUCAAGUCAUUGAAAUCACGAGGAAGACGACGCGCACAAUGAGAAAUGAUAUUUGAUGUGCAAGAGAGAAAUAAGGCAAAAGAAGACGUGAAUGUUGCUUGUUGAGUGAGUGAAUGUGAGAUAGAAGAUGUGAUGAACAACUUCACCCAACCACCUCGAAGACUGGAUGGAGAACAAUGGUAAUUGGAAUGAAUUUUUGUAUAGAAAAGAGUAUUACAAAAAAAUUAAAGAAUAUGUAAAAUAGAUCAAUAAUUUAUACCUAUUCUAGAGUUAACAGGUAUUAAAAAAAGGAUUUUUUAUAUGUUAUAAAAUAUUUGAAUUUUAUUAACAUAUUGCUAAGGCACUACUUUUACCUCUGUUUUUAUUGUACCCG